AUUCGUGUGAACAGUGUGUCGCCAUACGUGGUUCCCACCACACUGGCGAAGGAUUUCUUUAAGCUGGAUGAUGAUGGAGUGUAUCGGAUUUAUUCUAACCUCAAGGAGGCAGUGCUUAAACCAGAAGAUGUGGCUCAGGCUGCUCUUUACUUGGCAGGUGAUGAGUCCAAGUAUGUGAGUGGCCAUAAUCUGGUAGUGGAUGGGGGAUUCACCGUUGUGAAUCCAGGUUUCUGUAUGUUUCCACAGUCCGUAUAAUGUUUUUGUUUAGAGUCUGUUCCGUGAAGGAAUUAAAAUGAAUAAAUUAAUAAAACUUAUAUGUCAGGAACACGGUGUUGGAAAUAGUAAUUUGCAAAGGUUCUCUAUGUGUGGAUUAGUUUUAAUAAUAUAAGAUUUGUAUUUAAUUCUUCCUCUUUCACCCAUGCCGUUUUGCUAUUUCUCUUAUUAUUAAAACUCAUCACAUUGAAGCCUUCGAGUUUACCUCAAUGUAAUGAAAUUAAUUGUACCUGGUAAUAACUAGUUGGUCUACAAAAUUAAGGCAUAAGAUGGCGCAUGUGUUGAGUUAGGUGUUUUGAUUGGCCAGUCAAAUGGACGGUUUGACUAAUGAAAGAGGUAAUGCCAAGAAGCCUACGGGUUUCCCUCAAUGUAAGGAAGUUAAUUGUACCUAGUAAUAACUAGUUGGUCUAGAAAAUUAAGGCAUAGGAUGGUGCAUGUGAUGAGUUAGGUAUUUUGAUUGGCUAGUCAAAUGGUCGGUUUGACUAAUGAAAGAUAUAGUCUCCAAGGGAGGAAUAUGCUAUGAAGCCUAGGGAUUUGGCACUUUGAUAGUAAGAAAAAUAAUAGGGACAGUAGAUGAAAAUUACAGAACUACUAUUUUAUAUUUAAUAUAACUACAUUUAUACAUAUAAUAUGUAUAUUUCUCAUCCAAUAAAUUUAACUAUUUUAGUUAAUUAAAUUUAUUAUUCACUUUUAAUUUUAUUAAAAUAAAUAUGAUAAAUAUAAUUAUUUUUCAUAACGAUUAUUAACUAUUUAAAGAUAGUGUAUAAUCAAUUAAAUCGCUAUUAUUUGAAGUAUGGAGUUAUAUAAUAAAUCUAAUUUACAAUUAUUAAAAUUGAUAAAUUUUAGAUUUUUCUUUGGAUAAUUACUUUUUUUUAUUUUUUUAAAUUAAAAUAUUAAUGUAAGGUAUUGACAACAAAAUUUAUGUGGUGGAGGUAUUAAUUUAAUGGAAUCACUUAGUAGUAGGUAUAAAUAAAUUUUUGUGUAUUAUUUAAGGUAUAUUAAUUAAUAUUUUUAUUUAAGUUAAAAUUCUUAAAACCGAAAAAAUUUAAGAUUUUGUCAUUAUAUAUAGUAUUGGGUUUCAAAUUGUAAAAUUGUUAAAAUGGACAAAUUUAUUAUUUAAUUUUUAUAUUUUAAAAAAUUCAUUAUAGUUGAUAAUUUAAUUUUAAAAAAUAUAUUAAAAUAUUUUUAAAUGUUAAAAUAUUUUAUUAUUUAAUUUAUAUAAUUUUAAAAAAUUUAUUAAUUAAUUCUUAAUUUUAUAAAAAAAUCACUACUAUAAAAAUAGAUUUAAAAUAGUGAUUAUAAAUUAUUAUCUAAUUAUAAGUUAAUAGCAACAAAUUUAAAUCCAUUAAAUCUGUUUUUACUAUUAAAUAUAAAAUAAAAUUUUUAAUUAUAUAAUUAUAUAAUAAAAACUAAAUUUUAUUUUUAAUAAUUUUAAAUUAUUAUUUUAAUAAUAUUAAAUUAAUAAUUAUAUAAUUACUGUAAAAAUACUAUAACCCAAAACUUUAAAAUAUAACAAUAAAUUUAUUACACUCACCUGAUAUAUCUAAAUAAAUUUUAGAUUUUAUUUCAUCGGUUCCUAAUUUUUAAUUAAAAAAAUAAAUUUAUUAAUUAACCAAUUAAUAUUAAAAAUAUUUUAAUUUUUUUAUAAUAUUUAAACGCUAACAAUAAAAUUGCUAUCAAAUGGUAAUUUUUUCAAAAGAGAUAAAAGUCUCUUGGAAUGCCCUAAACGGGCCCAGGCUGAUUUUUAAUUAAAAAAAUAAAUUUAUUAAUUAACCAAUUAAUAUUAAAAAUAUUUUAAUUUUUUUAUAAUAUUUAAACGCUAACAAUAAAAUUGCUAUCAAAUGGUAAUUUUUUCAAAAGAGAUAAAAGUCUCUUGGAAUGCCCUAAGCGGGCCCAGGCUGAUUGCUAGACGACGAGACGGCAGUGUUUUUGUUUUUAUUUAUUUAAUUUAACAACGGCCGGCAAUGCCGAUGUAUAUUUAUUUGUUUAAAAUAUUGUUUUUUGUCAGAUCUUAAAAUAUUAUUUAUUAUUUAAUUUAAUGUUAGAUUAAUUAUAUGUGUUUUUUAUAACAUAUAAUACUUUUUAUUUUUAAAAAUUUAAAAACAGAGAAAAAAAAAUGAAAAAAUUGAAGAAAGAAAGGAGAAAGUCAGCUUUGAUCGUCUGUUUUGAAAUUUUCUUCAGGCUUUUCUAAUUUUUUUGUUUUGGAUUCUCUUUUAAUUUUCUUUUUUUUUUUUUUUUUAUCUGUAGACAAUAACGGUCUCUAUCCUGUCUGAGAGGAGAGGAGACUGACAUUAUUUUUUUUUUUGCUAUUUAUUUAUUUUUCAUAAAUUUUCUUUCACUGUUUAACUUGAGGGUUGUUUGCUUAAUUUUCGUGAAGACUAGCAAUUUUAUUUUGCUAGUAGAAAUGAAUAUUUUUAUUUUAAUAUUAUAUCGCUCCAUUCAGUGGUUUACGCUCUAUAUUCGGUGGUUUAUGCUGUAUCUAGUGAGGAUGGUUGAGCUCUCCGCACAUUCUUCCUUGUGUACUUUGAUUUUCUCGAGUUGCUUUGUUUUCAGUUGCUCUUGAAAAUCUGGCUUUCUUUUGUUGCAUGGAAAUUCUUUUGUGUACUUUUGGUUACUCUCUUUUUUUUUUCAAUGUACGACAAUCAUUGUUGGUGCGGUUACUUUGGUGCUAUCUCUUCGUUUGUUGAUGCAUCAGUGGUAUUGAUAAUGGACUUUGCAAUGCUUGAAUCUGCGGGUCUGUUUAGUUGUGGAUUGGAUUUGAAUUUUAAAUUUGUGUUGACUCUGAAUCUAGUUGUGCAACUGUGAUUUGGUUUAAUUGGCUUUUAUGGUUCUUGGAUAGAUAACUGUUUUCAGCCACACAGUAAUUUUAUCACUUCACUUUGUUAAAUACAAUAUCUUUUGUACAUUAAAAAAAAACAUACAAAACUUUUUAUAUUUUAAUAAAAUUAUUAAAUUUUAAAAAUAACUUUUUGUAUUUUCUAAAAAAUAUCUAAUGUUUUAAUUAAAAAUAUGUUCUAUUAAUUUAUUUUUUUGUAUAUGCUCCAAACGUUGAAAUUAUACAUUUAAUAUAGUUUUUUUUUUUUUUUUAUAAAAGAAAAUGAAACUUAAAUCGCUAAAGCAAUGAUAACAUUACACAGCAUCCCUUGUACAAAGAUUCAAAAGAAAAGGGGAGAUUUACAAGAAUCUUCAUAUUUAGCAGCUAUGGCUUGGAUCUCCCCUAUACAAUUCUCUUGUAAUGGACAACUAUAUUUACCAGCAUUUUAAUAUAUUUAUUAUAAUUAUAAUAAACACCACAAAAAGUCUCUUUCUACAGUGGGUGAGAUCCACUCAUUACAACUAAACAAAAUUUAAUUCAAAUAAAUUGGUUUGUUCUUUAAAAUAUCUUUUAAUAUUUUAUAUUAUAUUUCAAUUUUUAAAAUGAUAUAGAUUUCAUUUUGUCUUUAGUGCUAUAAAAAAAUGGAGCUAAGGUCAUUGAUUUAUAUAAAAAAAAAUUAUGUCUAUUCAAUAAAAGUUUUUGCUAUGUUCUUCGCAACAUUCAUAGUUCUGGUUCAAGAAUGAAGGAUCUGAUGACUUAGCUGGGAGAAGAGCUAGAAGAUAGCCUUUGCUUCCCUGCAAUUGAUGUACUGCAGAAAAUGCUCCUCACCACUCUAUCUAUCGCUUUACCUGCAUGAUUUCUGAUUAUUACAUCUGCUACUGCAUCUGGUUGGUCCAUACAAUUAUAUUUUCGAAACUUUCUUGGCGGCUUUUGCCAGAUUCAAUUUAGGUACCAUCCUGUUAUGAUCAUUCAGAUGUAUAAAACAAUUUAUCUACUUAGUUAAAUUAUUUUUUUUUAAAAAACAAAUUAUAUAUAGGAAGAUUUAUUAAUAUUUGAAUUAUUAAUUAUUAAUUAAUACAAUAUAGGUGGUGUGUGGUGUGUGGUGUGCUGUGUAUAGAUAAGAAGUUUCAUUUUUGUGUAGUAAGAAGUUUAACCAGAUAAUAACUGUAUUAUAUAUAAUUGAAUCAGGAAGCCCUGAAUUCCACUCUCUCACCCCAACUUCUAACUUCUAACUUAAAAAAAGAAAGAAAGAAAAGAAGAAGUUCCUGUUUUGUGAUUGCAUUAUUGAGUUGAUGCCACGUAACCAUCCAACACUGGACAUCUCUCUAUUUAAUGGAGAGUAUGGGUUCAGGAUAGGCCACAGCGCAGAGCUAUUUGGUUUCCUCUCCUCCCCAGGCACUCAACUUUUUCCAGACGUUGUUUAUUUUCCAUGGCCGCUGCCUCACUUCUCUCAGCAACUCUAAAAAGGUCAUAAAUAUUUUACUUGUCUUCCACAAUAUACUGUUGUAUGCUCAAGUUAUUGAUUUAUCUGCAGGCUGCAAGACAAGGUGGCUCUCAUCACUGGAGCUUCUAGCGGCAUCGGGGAGUGCACUGCCAGACUUUUCUCCAAACACGGUGCUAAAUUAGUGAUUGCAGAUAUUCAGGACGAGUUAGGAAACUCUCUCUGCCAAGAACUGCGGGCAGAUGCCCCUUGCUCCUUCGUCCACUGCGACGUUACCAAAGAAGAAGAUGUCCAAAAUGCUGUUGAUACAGCUGUUUCUAAGUACGGGAAGCUUGAUAUCAUGAUCAAUAAUGCGGGGAUAGUUGGGGUAGCUAAACCCAACAUACUUGAUAAUGAAAAAUCAGAAUUUGAAAAGAUCGUUAGUGUUAAUUUAGUAGGUGUAUUCCUGGGGACUAAGCAUGCAGCUCGAGUAAUGAUCCCCAAUCGCCGAGGGAGUAUAAUUACAACUGCUAGUGUUUGUUCAGUGAUUGGAGGGGUAGCACCUCAUGCUUAUACUAGUUCAAAACAUGGGGUGCUAGGAUUGAUGAGAAAUACUGCUGUGGAGUUGGGACAAUAUGGGAUUCGUGUGAACUGUGUGUCACCGUACUUGGUUGCCACCCCACUGGCAAAGGAUUUCCUCAAGUUGGAUGAAGAUGGAGUUCAUCGGGUUUAUUCUAACCUCAAGGAGGCAGUGCUUAAACCGGAAGAUGUGGCUCAGGCUGCGCUUUACUUAGCAGGUGAUGAGUCCAAGUAUGUGAGUGGCCAUAAUCUGGUAGUGG
rnacentral:lncRNA from 1 species